UGUUUGCACCCCCCAUUGUUCCUUAUGGCCAGAACAGUUUUGCAUUGCAAUUUUCAAUGCAUUUUGCAAACCUGCCUUGAAAAACACUGCAGAAGCACACAGUAAAAGGGAAUCUGUCCCUCCCAACACAGAACACAUAUUUCAAACACAGUCCAAAAAUGGCUAAGAAGAAUCACUGACCCAAAAUCCACAGUGCCUGCUCUGCAGUAACAUCACGGGCACAAGCUAUCUCGCACACAGUUACGUCUCUUCAACAUUGCAACAGCUGCCACAGCAGCACCCUUACUUAGCAGCAAGCAUAGGCGUAAGCUCAACCAGAGCAACUUCAGCCACAUUUUGACUGCGUAGUACACCUUGCAAUGCGGAUUGCUGACAGAGCAGACCAGAGCAGUGAGUGAAGCACAAGUCUCUCAAGGCCAGACACAGAGCUCAUAACAGCAAUCACCAAGAAACGUUACACACACAGACACCUGCCAAUGUCCAUGAUUUCUCACCAUAACACUAUCUCACAAACAAAACAAAGUACAACUCAAGAAAGGCAGGCACCCAAGUUCUGCCACCACAAAAUUAAACCUUCCAUGAUUCCUUCCUCCUCUCCUUAUAUAUCCUCUUCAGGAGCAUUCUCUACAUCCAAAUCCCUUUGAAUACAUUUGGAAAUCCCUCCUUUUGUAUCCCCCUCCUCCAGCCAGUGGGGGCAUAGUUGCCCAUGACCACACUUGAUUUGUAUAACAAGCCAAGCCAACCAAUCAGCAAGGAGAUCACAAGCCAAUUGGAAGCCAGUGCCAGAAAACCAAUCAGCAAGGGAGAAAUAGCUCGCCAAAAUGGCAUUUGAAAUGUUGAAAUGUUUCCAUCAAAACGUGGUUGUUCUGUUCCGAGCUUGGAACAGGCCUUUAUUUGUAGGGUGUUCUGUUCCGAGCUCAAAACAUUCGAAAUGGCCUGUUUCCAGUUGAAACGUUUCAACCUCGAAACGUUCUGCACAUCCCUACUGUUAAUCUCAUUUGUCCCAGUGAUUCAAAUGUGUAACUAACACAAAAAGGGUUCUGGGUUCAAGUCCCACUGUCUCUGUUAAUGACUAGGUAGCUUCAGCCAAAUCACCAAGGAUUUUGGGAGAUCAAAACAUAAAGCAUUUGCAAAAUGUGCUUUAAACAUUAUAAAUAGUAAUAUGUGUUAUAUCUUACCUAUCAGUCCUGGAACAUGUUUGCCUCUGAAUCGAAAGCAGACUGUAACAUUUAGGCAGUUCACUUCUUGCAAGCCAUCAUGACACUGAGGAGAUGUGAUGUCAGUGGACGUUGGCAGGAAAAUGGAGACAUCCAUAGUAAUGACCGGUCUGGAUCUUUAACAACACACCAAAAAGGAUGGAGAAGUAUUAUCUUCUGUCAUGAAACCAGCCUUUAUUCAGCCCAAAGUCCAGAGCUCUCUUUAUUCUAAAACCCAUUUUGAGCUUGCCUGACUUCAUAUUCAGCCCUGUGUAUGCAUGUCUCCUAGUCAUACAGCCAGCCUGCUUUCUAUAUAUCCUUCCUCUGUCAGGAAAGACCCCUAAAUAACAAACUAUCGAUGAAAGUAGGGGAAGAUCACAAGUUCUAUUGCAUUCCCUAAGGCAGUGAUUAAAACAAUGGCUUGAGUCCUUGUCUUCAAUUGCCAGAGCAAUCAUCAGCCCAUUGAUCCCAGAGAUCUGCGAGGAGUAUAAGGGGAAAAUUUUAAUUAUCACCUAGCUACAAUUUUUCCCCGUGUUAGGAGGGGAAUUUACAAGUUUCUUUCUUCUAAAAGCUAAGGGCAGCUUUUGUUUGUUAUUGUUGUUCUGAAUUCCUGCUCUUGAGAUGACUUCUGUAUUAGUUUAGCUUUCACCUUUGUUGCGUUGUCGGCUAAGCCCAAGCUGCAUACCUCCAGAAACAGCUGUUCUGCCCAGCUGGGUGAAGAAAGGCUCUGUUCAUAAUGCAAGAUUUUUAUUUCUGAACUUCAGCCUGACAACUAAGAUCUUUUAGCCUCCUGCCUAAGAUCAUGCAAGAUUAAAAGCAACCAUGGGGGACACUCCUAUCAGGUCCACAGUGAGGAUCUUUUUAACCCUUUCACCUGUGCCAUGGUCCUGACACCCCCUACCUACCCCACAAACCUGCUAUUUGCUCAAGGAGAAGAAACAGAAAGACAGUAGAAGAGCCAAAGAGGUUACCUCACUGAAAGAAGGAAGAUAAAUUGAUCUCACCUUAGAAGAAUCACAUGGUUUGACAUAAAUGCUCCAAUCGUCACAUCUAUAAACAAAGUUUUAUAUCAUUUAGACAACUAGAAUAUGAAAUGUAUUGUAUGCAUAACUACAGUGUUAUAGUUUGCAAAAUCAUUAAAUAUUUGCUAUUAAAAACUGAAUGACUGGCAUUGAGACUAAAUUCCUCAUGAAUAGUCCAUCUGAAACUGAUGGAACAAGUUAGUCAUGACUGACAUGUCCUAUUAAUUCAAUGUCAGGAUGUCAGCCAUUAUUUCUGUCUUGUAAUGUCCAUUGUAAUUAAACUUCUGAUGCCCACUGCUUUCACAUUUCUGAAAAGUAGUUCAUGAUUUGCAAAGGUACAGUUCAUUCAGGGCAAGAUCAUGAUUUGUGAAGGUACAUUUAUCAGUUGUCUUUUUAAGUUCACAUCUGCUGUUUUUCCUUUUUAACAUUCUCCUCCUAAUGAUUUAUUAUUUUAUAAAGGUCAGCAUCCUAACUAAUGGAGGCACCAGUGCUCCAUUAGACGCACUGGUAUUGUGGAUAGGAUCAGCUAACUCACUACCGGCACUCACAGGUAGGGGGAGACAAAUUUUAAUUACUUCCCUUCUCCCAGAAGCCCUUGAUGUCACCUGAAAAUAUGUCCCUGAGGGUCAUGUAACUCUAAGGGACAUAUUUUCAGGAGACAGUGAGGACUUCCAGAGGAAACAGUGGUUAUCAAAAUUCCCCUCCCCAACACCCUGCAAGCACCAGUGUUAUGUAAGUCUGGAACUUGGCUGCAGCACUGGCAUGGAGCAUCAGCACUUCAAUUAGGGUGUUAGCCAAUGAUCGUUUUGCUCUGAUUGGUUCUAAAUUCAGAGAACUACCAAAAAAUAAAAUACACCCUGAAACAGGUUUAUCACUCCAACACUGUUUGGGGGGAAAAGAGAAUAAGAUUAAGUGUAUUCAGCUUUGGCAAUUCUUUCAUUUAUGGUGGGUUUUUUCUUAAACUUUCAUUAUUAUUCUUACUAGCAUUAACCUACCUAGAUAGCCAUUUCCAUCCAUAUCAACUCCUCCUGACAUGGACUGGCCAAACAUCUGCAAUCUUGGGCUUACCCGUUUCCCAGGUAUCCUCUGUAAGACACAACAUAGAACAGGAAUCAACAGGACCAAACAAUACUGUAUGUAAUGUUUAGAUUGCUUAUGAAUGUAUCCUAACAUUGGUUUCAAAGAUAAGGCUUCUGGUAAUUUUGAUGGAACUGGCUUGUAUGAGCUGAGAUGUACAGUUCUACCAAUACGUCAGUUUGAGGUGGAACUAUAUACAGAGUGUAAAAUGAUUCUGUGACAGCAUUAAAUGAUUCUGUGAAUGCAUAAAAUAUUUUCUAGGCAAGAAGUUAAGUACUGCCCUGCUGGAUCAGGCCCAAGGCGUAUCUAGUCCAGCAUCCUGUUUCACACAGUGGCCCACCAGAUGCCUCUGGGAAGCCCACAGGCAAGAGCUGUUGCUCCCCUGAAACUGGUACUUGCUGCCAAUGCCAUUGUUCCAGGCCUAUAAUCCCAGGAGAAGGGGGGUAAUAUAGUCAAUUGUACUGAUCUUUUGCUAGUCCACUCAGAGAUGGAGAGAUCCAUUAAUUCAGGGCCACUGGCACAAUCCAUGCAGGAUAACAUUAUGCUCUCAUUUUGGAGAAGGAGAGAUGAUGUUCUACACUUUCAAUUUAAUGAUACAGUAUUGAACUGGCAGCAGGCAAAAGUUUUGCAGCAAAAC